rnacentral:rRNA from 1 species
CCUACGGGUGGCAGCAGUAGGGAAUCUUCCACAAUGGGCGAAAGCCUGAUGGAGCUACGCCGCGUGUGUGAAGAAGGCCUUCGGAUUGUAAAACCCUGUUGUUAGAGAAGAAAGUGCGUGAGCGUAACUAUUCCCGUUUUGACGGUAUCUUACCAGUAAGCCACGGCUAACUACGUGCCAGCAGCCGCGGUAAUACGUAGGUGGCAAGCGUUAUCCGGAUUUAUUGGGCGUAAAGGGAACGCAGGCGGCCUUUUAAGUCUGAUGUGAAAGCCUUCGGCUUAACCUGAGUAGCGCAUAUGAGACUGGGAGACUAGAGUGCGGAAGAGGGGAGUGGAACUCCAUGUGUAGCGGUGAAAUGCGUAGAUAUAUGGAAGAACACCAGUAGCGAAAGCGGCUCUCUGGUCUGUAACUGACGCUGAGAUUCGAAAGCGUGGGUAGCAAACAGGAUUAGAUACCCCAGUAGUC